GGCGGUGUAGCUCAGCAGGUUAGAGCAGCGGUUUCAUAAGCCGCGUGUCGGCGGUUCGAGUCCGCCCACCGCCACCA
rnacentral:tRNA from 1 species